rnacentral:ncRNA from 1 species
UAUCGUGUGAGGAGUAUAAGUUCAGCAUAAGAGGAACCUUUGGGGUCGAAACACGGCAAGACUCCCAGAGGUUCUUCUUUUUC